CUAAGCAUGAAGCCCCCCUCAAGAUGAGAUUUCCCAUAGCGCAAGCUAGUAAGAUCCCUGAAAGAUGAUCAGGUUGAUAGGUCAGAGGUGGAAGCACGGCGACGUGUGUAGCUGACUGAUACUAAUCGAUCGAGGACUUAACCAAAA
rnacentral:rRNA from 1 species